UGAUGUUGACUGUUGAUGCAAUUUUUCCAGCCCUCACCGAACCUCCGGCACUCCUAAAUAUAGAUAUUUGGAAAUGCACACUGUAAACCACUUUACACGUUGUGAAGCCCUCAAAGCCUUGAUGGGAUGCUUUUGGAGUUUUCCAUUCACCAGAAGGACUGCAGAGAGUCAGUGAACUGAGUGGAGAAGAUCUCGGGGAAAGAAAAAAGAAGUCCAAAGUUGUUACGAGGCACUUCCGAAAGAACUCUGAUGACUGCAUUUGGUCCCUCAUCGUUGUCGAACCCUAACAAAGUUUGCCUUGACCAGAUAAACUGAAGAACAGCACUCUCUACAUUCUUGAGCCAACUGCCCAAGAAACAUCACCACUGUAAUUUUACUAACCCUCUAUCAUCCUUGCAAACUGGGAAAGGAAGGACAGUGAAACUUUCUUAUUUGAAAUCUCUUAAAAGGCUACUGAUGGUUAAGGAAAAAAGAUUGUUACCAUGAAUUCUUUGGUAGAAUUCAAAAUUUAUGUAUGAUCGCCGAAAUCUGUAAAAUGUUACGAAGAUAUGUGUUUCAUAAGAUGAAAAUGCCAUUUUU